AGCAGCCGCGGUAAUUCCAGCUCCAAUAGCGUAUAUUAAAGUUGUUGCAGUUAAAAAGCUCGUAGUUGAAUUUCGGGAUCAAUAUUUUGGUCGUGCCAUUGGUACGUACUGGCAUUAUUGAUUCCUACCUUCUGAAGAACCUUGAUGUCAUUAAUUUGGUGUCUUGGGGAAUCAGGACUGUUACUUUGAAAAAAUUAGAGUGUUUAAAGCAGGCUUGUGCUUGAAUACAUUAGCAUGGAAUAAUGAAAUAGGACGUUUGAUUCUAUUUUGUUGGUUUCUAGGAUCGACGUAAUGAUUAAUAGGGAUAGUUGGGGGCAUUAGUAUUCAAUUGUCAGAGGUGAAAUUCUUGGAUUUAUUGAAGACUAACUACUGCGAAAGCAUUUGCCAAGGAUGUUUUCAUUAAUCAAGAACGAAAGUUAGGGGAUCGAAGACGAUCAGAUACCGUCGUAGUCUUAACCAUAAACUAUGCCGACUAGGGAUCGGAUGAUGUUAAUUUUUUAAUGACUCAUUCGGCGCCUUACG
rnacentral:rRNA from 1 species